rnacentral:lncRNA from 10 species
CAGAGCAGGGAGCCCUCUCCUUGGAUCCUAACACCUGGUUAGCUAGCCCUGUCUAUAGCUCUCUGGAGUGGAACAUGAGAUCAUUUCUCUUCACCCUGCGGGGGCUGGCAAUCAGCUCACAAAGUGAGGUAGCCAUCUUUAAACAGCAGGAUCCAGAGUCCCAGAAAUCUUGACUCAGCCAGAUGGGAUGUCAGAGGAAGCUUCUGAAGAACUGGAGACCAGUUACAGCAAGCCGCUAUGGAACAUCUCUAGGCCAGAUUCGGUGUUAUCUUAAAGGACUGCGUGCAAUUCUACUUGGAGAUCUUCAUAACACCUUAAGGGAAAAAUCCUUUUUGAAAGAAAAACAAGUCUGGGUGGUGCUUGAAAAUUCAGAAGGCAGCUAGAAACUCUGCCAAUUACAACUGGUGAUUGCUGAGUUCUGGAGACAGACUGGGCUUCUGCUUUCUUUUGGUGGAGGUGUCUGCUUGCAGAAAAUUUAUGUUCUGGGAUUUACAACUUCAGGGAGACAAAGGAAACUCCAGCUCAUCUCCCACAUCAUUGAUUGAGAGGACCAUUUUCUGACUGUCUGCACACGCCUCCAUCCAAUUGGAUGGCAC